UCUCACUCUGUGCCACUGAAUCUGGAAACUAGAAAUCCCAUCACAGCUUCCUGCAUUGUGCAUUAGUCACAUCAGAUAAAUCAUGCAACAGAGGGGACGUACUGUUUCCCGGUUGCACUUCAUAAGAUCUCAUUUGUGAGGAGGACAGAAAACCUUGCUCUGGAGAAGUUCUUUUUGGAUUAUUUUCAGACAGUAGACAAGGCAGAAUUGCUACCUUGAUUAUCUGGAGCCACAUGGAAAUACCAGUUACCUUUUCUCUGCUUGCUCUUGGGUCUGUUAUAAACAGUGGCUUGCCAUUUUAAUAUAUCCUGAAAUUACUCUGCUUUUUCAGAUCCGCCUCCUUCUGCUCUGAUAAGAACAGUAAUUGCAGCCUACUUAAGGGAAGGACAAUGGAAAUCAUAUACUCUUUUACUAUGGGAACACAAAAAUAAGUAACUUUUUGGCAGAAAUAAUCAAAGAGUUAUUUGACAUAUUUUUCUGUUCAUUCAGUGGCUGACUUCACCCUCUGACUAGUGCCUGGAGUGCUGCUGAGAACUAAUAUCCCAGCUGCUCCAAAUGCACCUGAAUGGGUACUAGAGAGAUGAGGAAGCUAACUCAUGGCAGAUGGGACCAGACCAAAUGAAACCUGCCUUCAAGGAAUAAGGCCCUUCAUCCAACCAGAACUGAGUGCACUACUAUCCGUGUCAGCACCAACAGAAUCUAUUAAUUACCCAAUUAAACAAACAAGAAAAAACCUUUACUUGAUGUGUGUAUUUAGACAACCUCAAGCAUUUUGUCUUCAAUAUAAUUUUCCUUAAUUUUGAGUUCUAGUGGAAGGCUUCUCUCUUAUUCCAUCCAGUCAGCCUCUGACUUUGUAAAAUUCAGAGCCUUUUUAUUUGUGAUUUUUGAUGCAUGGUAUUUUAUAUCGUACAACAUAUAUUGUACAAUAAUUGUGCUCUCCAGUAAUAUAAAUCUGUCUUAACCAAAUUAUAUCCUCUGAUAUUCACUGAAAAAAGCAAUGGAUACAGCAGAUAUAGAAUAGGGUGGUGCAAAUCAACAGAUAUUCCAGGUGGCCAGGUAACCAGGUAUUCCAUCCUGCCAGGUAACAAAGGAGAUUUUAAAAGCAAGCCUGCAUUCACAGCAGAUAUCAAUAAUACUAACAGUAUCUGAUCAUGUUUUGUUGUUAAAAUAGAUCAAUUAAUUUAUAUAUUUACAUAGUCUUUUCAUUAAGGAAAAUAGACACAGACAUAGAAAAAAGAUGAAUCAAAACUAUUUUGCUAUAUGAGAUAAGAUACAUUUACUAAGUAACUCCAGGAAGUUAGAUACAGAAGCCAGCUUCUGAUCCUUUCAGUCUCAAUAUUCCUCUACAGCACAUUGCUCAGGAGAAUUUCUAACUCCCUACCCACUUUUGUCUUAGAGGCCAAGAGUAAAUGAUUCCAUCCCUCUACUGAAAGAAGAAGAAAUUUUAAGCAUAGCAGAAAUGCUUUGGCAGCCUCAGCCUCUACCCAAUGACAGGGCUCUACAUGUCAGAGCUGUAGCUCUGAGCUGCCUUGGGAUUCCUGGCACUUCACUGCAACCACCUUCUGCUGCUGGAGCAGUAGAUAUGCUUGGAGUGGGGUUAAGGUGCUUGGCCCCCACUGCCUUCCACCUGCUCCCCGAGUGAUUUGUUUACAUACCAUCAGCCCUACACUUGGUACUCUUGUCAUGCUCUUUUCAGUCUGAAUGGUCUUCAUGCUCACAGCCACAAAACAUGACAGAGUUCAAGAUACCAGCUGACACUUGUAUACCAUGGAGCCUCAAGAACUCGACUUAAGGAGCUUGUUCUCACUCUCUCUUUUACUGCUGGGACCUGUAGCUUCCCAGAAAUCAUCUCCUUUAUCUUUCCUUGUGUCAGGUGUGACCUGGAUUUUAGACAAGCCUCUGUAACCUACUUGCUAGAAUUCCCCAACUUAGGAGGACAACCUCAACAGCAUAUGCUAUCAUUGUCAUGUUCAUCAAGAGCAACGUGUAUUUCCAUACAAAGGUAGACAGGUGCCAUGCAGUAGAGAUGUACUGCACAGCACCUCUCUCAGAGCCAAAACCCUUUAUUCCCAUGGCAAUUGCUCUGACUGCUUCUUUUUGCCUGUAGCAGUCAGCCUGUAAGUCAGCUGGAAACCUCGUAGGAUAAACACCAAGACAGGGAAGCUAAUUAUUACUGUCUAUACUAGACAGUCUAGUAGUGUACUAAACUUUCACUUUUUUUUUUUUUUUUUUUUUUUUUUUGUAGAGUUACAUAUUGCUUAAAAAUAUCUACACUGUUUUCCAAAUCUUUAUGAUAGUUUCUGUUGACUAUGAAAGCGAAAGUGGAAACAGGAAUCACCUCUAGAGGAAAUACUGAAGUUACUAGGAGUUUUACAGCUCUUAAUUAUAAGAAAGCCUACCAAUUGGAAAGCUAAAAGUGAAAACUGAACCUAAUAAAGGGUUCCAGAUUCAGUAAUAAAGUGCUGUA
rnacentral:lncRNA from 1 species